rnacentral:rRNA from 1 species
CCUACGGGGGGCAGCAGUAGGGAAUCUUCCACAAUGGACGAAAGUCUGAUGGAGCAACGCCGCGUGUGUGAUGAAGGGUUUCGGCUCGUAAAACACUGUUGUAAGAGAAGAAUGACAUUGAGAGUAACUGUUCAGUGUGUGACGGUAUCUUACCAGAAAGGAACGGCUAAAUACGUGCCAGCAGCCGCGGCAAUACGUAUGUUCCAAGCGUUAUCCGGAUUUAUUGGGCGUAAAGCGAGCUCAGACGGUUGGAUAAGUCCGGAGGGAAAGGCACGAGCUUAACUGUGGAAGUGCUUGGGAAACUGGAGAACUUGAGUGCAGUAGGGGAGAGUGGAAGUCCAUGUGUAGCGGAGAAAUGCGUAGAUAUAUGGAAGAACGCCAGUGGCGAAGGCGGCUCUCUGGACUGUAACUGACGUUGAGGCUCGAAAGUGUGGGGAGCAAACAGGAUUAGAUACCCCGGUAGUC